rnacentral:rRNA from 1 species
GACGAACGCUGGCGGCGUGCUUAACACAUGCCAGUCGAACGGAAAGGCCCUGCUUGCAGGGUACUCGAGUGGCGAACGGGUGAGUAACACGUGGGUGAUCUGCCCUGCACUUCGGGAUAAGCCUGGGAAACUGGGUCUAAUACCGGAUAGGAGCCAUUUUUAGUGUGAUGGUUGAAAAGUUUUUUCGGUGUAGGAUGAGCUCGCGGCCUAUCAGCUUGUUGGUGGGGUAAUGGCCUACCAAGGCGGCGACGGGUAGCCGGCCUGAGAGGGUGGACGGCCACAUUGGGACUGAGAUACGGCCCAGACUCCUACGGGAGGCAGCAGUGGGGAAUAUUGCACAAUGGGCGCAAGCCUGAUGCAGCGACGCCGCGUGGGGGAUGACGGCCUUCGGGUUGUAAACUCCUUUCGCUAGGGACGAAGCUUUUUGUGACGGUACCUAGAUAAGAAGCACCGGCUAACUACGUG